rnacentral:rRNA from 1 species
UACGAGGGGGGCUAGCGUUGUUCGGAAUUACUGGGCGUAAAGCGCACGCAGGCGGCUCGAUAAAUUAGAAGUGAAAGCCCCGGGCUUAACCUGGGAAUUGCUUUUAAGACUGUCGGGCUAGAAUCCAGAAGAGGGUAGUGGAAUUCCGAGUGUAGAGGUGAAAUUCGUAGAUAUUCGGAAGAACACCAGUGGCGAAGGCGACUACCUGGUCUGGCAUUGACGCUCAUGUGCGAAAGCGUGGGGAGCAAACAGG